rnacentral:rRNA from 1 species
AUUGAACGCUGGCGGCAGGCCUAACACAUGCAAGUCGAACGAGGGGCGGACGGGUGAGUAAUGUCUGGGAAACUGCCUGAUGGAGGGGGAUAACUACUGGAAACGGUAGCUAAUACCGCAUACCAUCAGAUGUGCCCAGAUGGGAUUAGCUUGUUGGGGGGGUAACGGCUCACCAAGGCGACGAUCCCUAGCUGGUCUGAGAGGAUGACCAGCCACACUGGAACUGGGCCACGGUCCAGACUCGCACCGUCGGCAGCAGUGGGGAAUAUUGAACAAUGGGCGCAAUCCUGAUGCAGCCAUGCCGCGUGUAUGAAGAAGGCCGUCGGGUUGUAAAGUACUUUCAGCGGGGAGGCGUUACCCGCAGAAGAAGCACCGGCUAACUCCGAUCCAGCAGCCGCGGUAAUAC